ensembl:miRNA Mir7037 microRNA 7037
GUGGGAAGGUGGCCACAGGAGAUCGUGGUGGCUCCUCACCACCCCUCUCCUAAUGUCACCUGCAG